rnacentral:rRNA from 1 species
CCUACGGGAGGCAGCAGUAGGGAAUUUUCCGCAAUGGGCGAAAGCCUGACGGAGCAAUACCGCGUGAGGGAUGACGGCCUGUGGGUUGUAAACCUCUUUUCUCAAGGAAGAAGUUCUGACGGUACUUGAGGAAUAAGCAUCGGCUAACUCUGUGCCAGCAGCCGCGGUAAUACAGAGGAUGCAAGCGUUAUCCGGAAUCACUGGGCAUAAAGCGUCUGUAGGUUGUUUAGUAAGUCUGCUGUUAAAGACUGGGGCUUAACCCCAGAAAAGCAGUGGAAACUGCUAGACUCGAGUGUGGUAGAGGUAGAGGGAAUUCCUAGUGUAGCGGUGAAAUGCGUAGAUAUUAGGAAGAACACCAAUGGCGAAGGCACUCUACUGGGCCAUAACUGACACUGAGAGACGACAGCUAGGGGAGCAAACGGGAUUAGAUACCCCGGUAGUCCUAGCCGUAAACGAUGGAUACUAGAUGUUGCACGUAUUAACCCGUGCAGUAUCGUAGCUAAGGCGUUAAGUAUCCCGCCUGGGAAAGUACGCGUCGCGAGAGAGAACGUACGUAAAGGUAAGUUAGUUAGGCGUGAGACGUGCCGACGGCGACGACGAGGGAGGAGG